rnacentral:rRNA from 1 species
AUUGAACGCUGGCGGCAUGCCUUACACAUGCAAGUCGAACGGCAGCACGGGUGCUUGCACCUGGUGGCGAGUGGCGAACGGGUGAGUAAUACAUCAGAACGUACCUUAUCGUGGGGGAUAACGCAGCGAAAGUUGCGCUAAUACCGCAUAAGCCCUGAGGGGGAAAGCGGGGGACCGUAAGGCCUCGCGCGAUUAGAGCGGCCGAUGUCUGAUUAGCUUGUUGGUGAGGUAAAAGCUCACCAAGGCGAUGAUCAGUAGCUGGUCUGAGAGGACGAUCAGCCACACUGGGACUGAGACACGGCCCAGACUCCUACGGGAGGCAGCAGUGGGGAAUUUUGGACAAUGGGGGCAACCCUGAUCCAGCAAUGCCGCGUGAGUGAGGAAGGCCUUCGGGUUGUAAAGCUCUUUUGUCAGGGAAGAAACAGCAGCUCUAACACAGUCUGCGAAUGACGGUACCUGAAGAAUAAGCACCGGCUAACUACGUGCCAGCCGCCGCGGUAA